CACAGCCGCCCAGAACUCACAGGGAGACGCUGAGCUGCAGAGACCCUUGAGCGGCUCAGCUUUCCUCCCCUUCUGCACAGAGACGGGAGCAGGGAGUCUGUGGGGACCCAUGGGCCUGUGCACUCACGCCCCUCUGCAUGCACAACCCGCUGUGGUCCCUGUGGCCCAGGCACGGACACUGUGAGCUGCAGACCAACGUCCCCUGAGCUCAGACCUGGAUAGGUGUCCACCAAGGGAGAGGAGGUGAAGUCCUCAGUGGGGUCACGCCAGGAUGCUCUUACUGUGGGUAGGAUGAGCCCCCCACGGGGACGGCAUUCGUGUGGCCCUGCAGGUCGCCGUUCCUCAUUCACCAGGAUGCUCUUACUGUGGGUGGGAUGAGCCCCCCACGGGGCCGGCAUUCGUGUGGCCCUGCAGGUCGCCGUUCCUCAUUGCUAUGGAAACUUCCUGCGUUUGCUUAUUACGAGGGCCACACUGCUACCUUUGGAGUAAUA
rnacentral:lncRNA from 1 species